GACGAACGCUUGCGGCGUGCUUAACACAUGCAAGUCGAACGGAAAGGCCCUGCUUUUGUGGGGUGCUCGAGUGGCGAACGGGUGAGUAACACGUGAGUAACCUGCCCUUGACUUUGGGAUAACUUCAGGAAACUGGGGCUAAUACCGGAUAGGAGCUCCUGCUGCAUGGUGGGGGUUGGAAAGUUUCGGCGGUUGGGGAUGGACUCGCGGCUUAUCAGCUUGUUGGUGGGGUAGUGGCUUACCAAGGCUUUGACGGGUAGCCGGCCUGAGAGGGUGACCGGCCACAUUGGGACUGAGAUACGGCCCAGACUCCUACGGGAGGCAGCAGUGGGGAAUAUUGCACAAUGGGCGGAAGCCUGAUGCAGCAACGCCGCGUGCGGGAUGACGGCCUUCGGGUUGUAAACCGCUUUCGCCUGUGACGAAGCGUGAGUGACGGUAAUGUGUAAAGAAGCACCGGCUAACUACGUGCCAGCAGCCGCGGUGAUACGUAGGGUGCGAGCGUUGUCCGGAUUUAUUGGGCGUAAAGGGCUCGUAGGUGGUUGAUCGCGUCGGAAGUGUAAUCUUGGGGCUUAACCCUGAGCGUGCUUUCGAUACGGGUUGACUUGAGGAAGGUAGGGGAGAAUGGAAUUCCUGGUGGAGCGGUGGAAUGCGCAGAUAUCAGGAGGAACACCAGUGGCGAAGGCGGUUCUCUGGGCCUUUCCUGACGCUGAGGAGCGAAAGCGUGGGGAGCGAACAGGCUUAGAUACCCUGGUAGUCCACGCUGUAAACGGUGGGUACUAGGUGUGGGGUCCAUUCCACGGGUUCCGUGCCGUAGCUAACGCUUUAAGUACCCCGCCUGGGGAGUACGGCCGCAAGGCUAAAACUCAAAGGAAUUGACGGGGCCCCGCACAAGCGGCGGAGCAUGCGGAUUAAUUCGAUGCAACGCGUAGAACCUUACCUGGGUUUGACAUGGAUCGGGAGUGCUCAGAGAUGGGUGUGCCUCUUUUGGGGUCGGUUCACAGGUGGUGCAUGGCUGUCGUCAGCUCGUGUCGUGAGAUGUUGGGUUAAGUCCCGCAACGAGCGCAACCCUUGUUCACUGUUGCCAGCACGUUAUGGUGGGGACUCAGUGGAGACCGCCGGGGUCAACUCGGAGGAAGGUGGGGAUGACGUCAAGUCAUCAUGCCCCUUAUGUCCAGGGCUUCACGCAUGCUACAAUGGCUGGUACAGAGAGUGGCGAGCCUGUGAGGGUGAGCGAAUCUCGGAAAGCCGGUCUCAGUUCGGAUUGGGGUCUGCAACUCGACCUCAUGAAGUCGGAGUCGCUAGUAAUCGCAAAUCAGCAACGCUGCGGUGAAUACGUUCCCGGGGC
rnacentral:rRNA from 1 species